CAAUAUUAUUUUGUUUUCAUUACUCAAAUAUUGGCCAAUAUUGACAUUUUUACAUAUUGGUACGCAUGCGUAACUUUAUCGCUUGUUCAUAAAGAAGCACUGUGAACAUCAAAGGACAAAACUAUAGUUUUGUCCUUUGAUGUUCACAGUACUUCUAAUAAAACAUUUACAGAUUGAAUCACGAGAAGAAGUGGUUGUAAUUUAUUUAAAAACAGAUUGUAUCACGAGAAGAAGUGGUAAAAGUGAAGAAAUCCUUUUAAUUGAAAAUUUAGAGAUUGUAUCACGAGAAGAAGUGGUUGUAAUUUAUUUAAAACAGAUUGAAUCAUGAGAAGAAGUGGUUGUAGUUCAUUUAGAAACAGAUUGUAUCACGAGAAAAAGUGGAAAAAUAUUUCUGCACUAUAAGACAAAGGUUGAAAUAACAGUUAUAAAACUGCUGUAGAACGAAUGGAAACAUUAGAGUUCACAUCAAGCGUUGAAACAGCUGCUGAUAGUGAUGAAAAAUUGUCCAUGCCACCAGCUAAAAAGUUAGCAGUUUGCAAAACAAGUGACACUGAGGAGACAUAUCCAUCAGUUUCCCCAAGAUUGAAGAAAUCUUUUAAUUGCCAAAAUAUUUUAAAAUCCACAACUGUUCAAGAUAUUGAGCUAUUUAGUUCGAAUCGUUCUCUACCGAUAUUUUCCUCUUCUGAUCAUACCUGGCAACUGUUUUGGCUGCUUUAGGCACCCGAUUUGCUGCAUUUGAGAAGAAAAGUUUAGAGCUGCUUGUCAGUAUUCAAUACGAUUUGAAAAAGUUAAACACUCGCCUAAUCAAUUUAGAAAAAGGUUUAUUGUUUCCUUCUGUUAGCAAUCAGAGCAUAGCUGGACCAUCCCCAUCAGUUAAAUGGAAUUAUUUGCCUGUUAAAGAGGAAAAAGAUUUUCUAGACCUGGAUGAAAAAUUACGAAACACCUAUGAUGAACUUCCUUGCAUCGGUUGGAGGCGACGAUUACAAGCAACUUACCACGGCUAUCUUAAAACAACUAAUGGCUAAAAAAGUAUGCUUAUUAUACUCUAUGUAUGGCAAUAAACAAAAGAAAUUAUUUUCGUCUCUUACGUCCUGCAAGGUGGUUAUAGAUGCCAUAAAAAAAAAGUUUGAAAACGCUAAUGACAAAAGCAUUAAAGAAAGAAAGAAUCGGCAGCUUUCUGGCAACGGCCAUUGAUAGAGAAGGCAGAAGAAAGAAUAGAACCGCAAUUAAGCAAAGCCCACUAUUGAGGGAUAGUGAGAGUGUAAUGCUGUAAUAUAUUUAUAUAUAU
rnacentral:lncRNA from 1 species